rnacentral:sRNA from 1 species
GUCGCUGCCAAAUCAGCGAUCGGGAUUGGAACCCCGCGGCUUAACUGACGCAAAACGCACCUUUCAU